AUUGAGACCAAUUUGGCCUGGGGAGAACCGCCUUCAGGCGUUUGGACUCAGUGGAGGUUGUGAGUGCCCAGCAGUGUGGCCUGAAUCUCCGUGGGGUUUAGGGAGACGAAAGGACCCCAGAUCGACGUCCCCUCGUUCCCACUUUGGGGAUCGGCGCUCUGGCUGUUUCGUGAAGGAGAGAGAGGUUGAUUCCAUACCCUGGCUAUUGUGAAUAAUGCUGCAGUGAACAUGGGAGUACAUACAUCUGUUUGAGGAACUCAGAGUGGUUUUCCAGAUGGGAAUCACAUUGCUCUCUGUCCCUGAGAUCUUGCUGGAGACAGGGCUACUCAGUCCCUCUUUGCCAGAUUGAUACUGGAAAAGCAGUUUCUAUUGAGCCCCCAAAUGAAGAGUGAGUGCAGAUGAAGAGGAGGCAGGACUCACAAGCCCUUGAACUUUAUUCCAGAUCUGUUAGCACCUACAGGACCCUGCACCAGGAUUUCAUCUGUACUAUCAGCUUCUUCAAAGAGAGAGAGGUUGUUGAAUGUUGCCAAAUGUCUCUGCAAAGAGGUUGUACCAAUUUGUCCUCCCUAGGCCAUGUAUGGAAUUAUCAUGGCCCUGCAUUUUCCAUUUAAUGAGGAUACAGCAUAAACACCAACUCACUGAUUGAGUUUACUUUUCUUUUCUUUUCUUUUUUAUUAUACUUUAAGUUUUAGGGUACAUAUGCACAACGUGCAGGUUAGUUACAUAUGUAUACAUGUGUCAUGUUGGUGUGCUGUACCCAUUAACUCAUCAUUUAACAUUAAGUAUAUCUCCUAAUGCUAUCCCUCCCCCCAGCCCACAACAGGCCCCAGUGUGUGAUGUUCCCCUUCCUGUGUCCAUGUGUUCUCAUUGUUCAAUUCCCACCUAUGAGUGAGAACAUGCAGUGUUUGGUUUUUUGUCCUUGCGCUAGUUUGCUGAGAAUGAUGGUUUCCAGCUUCAUCCAUGUCCCUACAAAGGACAUGAACUCAUCAUUUUUUAUGGCUGCAUAGUAAUCCAUGGUGUAUAUGUGCCACAUUUUCUUAAUCCAGUCUAUCAUUGUUGGACAUUUGGGUUGGCUCCAAGUCUUUGCUAUUGUGUGAAUAGUGCUGCAAUAAACAUACGUGUGCAUGUGUCUUUAUAGCAGCAUGAUUUAUAAUCCUUUGGGUAUAUACCCAGUAAUGGGAUGGCUGGGUCAAAUGGUAUUUCUAGUUCUAGAUCCCUGAGGCAUCGCCACACUGACUUCCACAAUGGUUGAACUAGUUUACAGUCCCACCAACAGUGUAAAAGUGUUCCUAUUUCUCCACAUCCUCUCCAGCACCUGUUGUUUCCUGACUUUUUAAUGAUCACCAUUCUAACUGGUGUGAGAUGGUAUCUCAUUGUGGUUUUGAUUUGCAUUUCUCUGAUGGCCAGUGAUGAUGAGCAUUUUUUCAUGUGUCUUUUGGCUGCAUAAAUGUCUUCUUUUGAGAA
rnacentral:lncRNA from 1 species